rnacentral:lncRNA from 1 species
AAUUGUACGAACAGUACCACUGGUCAACCAACAACUACUAACUCAUGCGCAUCACCUAUAAAUUCUCACAAGUUUUGGUGUGGUUCAUUUAUUUUUCUCAAUUUUUAUUUUCGGUAAUUGAUUUUUGUUUACCCAAUGGUAUUUUUCUUUCUUUUUUUAUGACAUAUAGAUAUUUCCUCUGUACGAAAAUCCAGUUUUGUCUCUACACACAAAUAAAACUACUAAAAAGAGUGUUAAAAAUAAGUAGAUGUUUUAUGAUUGUACAUGGGAUAACUAUUCAUCAGAGACCAUGCAACGAAAGAGAAUGGAUGCAGAGAACUACAUGCCACCGUACUGCCUUCAACUAUCAAGCCCAAUCCGUAAAGAAAACUUAGAAAGCCCCGGCAUCACAAAAAAAUGAAACAAAUCUAUCAAAAGAGAAAACCAACGACAUGAUUUAUGCAAAAACAAUUAGGAAAAAAACAAUUAUGGCAAAAAGUUCAUAGAUGCAUAUUUCCGAGUGGUAUUUUGGUCUUUGUAAGAGAAUAAGGUCAAGCCUUUCCAUUCUAUGAAAGGACUUAUCAUUGUAUAGUACAUUCUCCUAGUUCAUGACAGUUUAAUUUGGCGAGUAUACAGUCAGAGGGCCAAAAGUAUUUCACCACUUCAAAAUUUUGCUAUUAUAUAAUACAAGUAUAUCAAGAACACUAAUUACACUAUCCUUCAGUUAUUUUGUCCAAUUUGAAUGAAACUUUAACCGCUAAACGAAAAAAAAAGGUUUAAGAUCUGUUUUGUGCCAUCAUUAUGAUAUCUGUGUUUGAUAAUAUGAAAGGAAAUAACGGUUUAAAGAUAAAUGUGAAUUAGCAUGAAAGAAAUGGAUAGAUAUAGGAAAAGAUUUAUACUUGAUUCACUACUUAAAUAUAGUUCUUUUCAGAUCCAACCGUAGAUUAAUCACAAUCAUAUUUCGGAUAUAACUUCGAUUUAAUCUUG